rnacentral:rRNA from 1 species
CCUACGGGAGGCAGCAGUGGGGAAUUUUCCGCAAUGGGCGAAAGCCUGACGGAGCAAGACCGCGUGAGGGAGGAAGGCUCUUGGGUUGUAAACCUCUUUUCUCUGGGAAGAAGAUCUGACGGUACCAGAGGAAUCAGCAUCGGCUAACUCCGUGCCAGCAGCCGCGGUAAUACGGAGGAUGCAAGCGUUAUCCGGAAUUAUUGGGCGUAAAGCGUCCGUAGGUGGCGGUUCAAGUCUGCCGUUAAAACCAGUAGCUUAACUACUGACAGGCGGUG